CACGCUCGCUCUUUUCGCCCUUGUUACCACCAUGUGUCAGGGGCUUGAGUGGGAACGUUGCCGGGCCCAGUGUUGGCUCAACAGCCGGGGCAGCGAAGGAUGAGACGCCUCUGCGGAAGGGCAGUAGCUGAAGUGGCGGGAGAUGUGACCCGAGUGGACCGUGCGCGUGUGAGCUUCCCCGGGAAGGUGUGCUUCUCAGGAUGUACUAGUAGUACUCUUCUCAGUAACGAAGAAUCCAUGUUACAGAGCAGACUGGCAUCAUUAGCAGGCUGUAAGGAGGCCAUAAAAGACUCUUGAAAGAUUCAGACAGAAGCCUGCAUGUGAUGGCAGUGAUGCCCUCUGGAUGAGAUGGUGAAGACUUGGCUUUGAGUGACAUUGUUUAUGGCUUUCAUUGGGUUUCAUGAAACUUAUUUGCAGUUGCUUAGCAGAAAUGUUUUAGGAUGGUGUUUGACCAUAUAUUGUUUACUGUAAACAUCCUGCCAAAAGGUUUAAUAAGUUGUAAUUAGCAUAAGAGGCUCUUGGGAUGAAAUGGUGUCUGCCUGGUAAUCAGUAGUGUUCUUACCCCUGGGCAUAGCCUUGCAUAUCAAAGGAAAGGUUAAAAAAAAAGUAAUAGCUUGCCCCAUUCUCUAGAAUUGACACUAGCAUGUGCAGAGGUAGGUUUCUUGUCCUGCUUCUCCCCAGAAUUAUAAUAAGCCAUCCUUUGGUUUUCUCCCUGUCAAAAACUCCCUACCCAUCUUGCAUUAAAUAGUGUCUUGGCAGGCCAUAUCAUUGCAAAGGCAGCCUCAAGUGAGGCAGAAUAAAACUUGGAGCUGAAAAAGGAAGAAUGACCUAUGGCGUUGUUUAAUUAUAAAGAGCUAUAACACAGCGCUCCUUUUCUAAGAACGUUGCUAAGCUGUCCUGAUCAACUAAAUGAACCAUUUGGAGUUCAGCGUUGGUGCUAAUUAAAUUUCUUACCUGGGUAUAGAGUAUAACCACUGAAGGCAUUGAUUGUAUUAAGCUCAUUUUAAUUAAAAUCGUCAGAAAACA